rnacentral:siRNA from 1 species
GAAGAUAAUGGAUUCGCUACAA